rnacentral:rRNA from 1 species
CAGCUAGUUGGUGGGGUAAAGGCCUACCAAGGCGACGAUCAAUAGCUGUUCUGAGAGGAAGAUCAGCCACACUGGGACUGAGACACGGCCCAGACUCCUACGGGAGGCAGCAGUGGGGAAUCUUGGACAAUGGGGGCAACCCUGAUCCAGCGAUGCCGCGUGUGUGAAGAAGGCCUUAGGGUUGUAAAGCACUUUAAUGAGGGAGGAGUAGGCUUUGUUGAAUAGACGAAGUUGAGGACGUUACCUCAAGAAUAACACCGGCUAACUCUGUGCCAGCAGCCGCGGUAAUACAGAGGGUGCGAGCGUUAAUCGGAAUUAUUGGGCGUAAAGGGAGCGUAGGCGGAUUGACAAGUGGUAGGUAAAAUACCUGGGCUUAACCUGGGGGCGUCCUAUCAGACUGUCAGUCUAGAAUGUGGUAGAGG